AUGGGGUCAAUCAUUUGUAUUGAUCUUCCCUUACAGGUAUGGACAUUCCACUCCUCAUUCAGUCUCCAGCACAGGAACAUGUCAGAGAGGGACAUAAGGCUCAGUUAUAUUGCGCUGUGCACAACGCCAGUGUGAAUGUCAUUGAUGUACACUGGUACCGACAACGCCCAGGAGGACACCAGAAGGAGUGGUUGCUAACACACAUGGUAAAUGGCACUGUGCGGAGGUGCCAGACUUGUGCCUUGGCUCUCCAGCCUUCCAGAGACACCUCCAACAACACCUUCACUCUGUCAGUCCUAAAUGUGCUGUUCAGUGAUGUUGGAGUCUAUUACUGUGCUGUGUGGGAAGAUGUCUUUGGGAAUGGCACCGAGCUGAAUGUAACAAAACCCGGGAGUGAUAGCCUCAGCUCGGUCAUUGUGUUUCUCAUACUGGUGAUCUGCAUCAUCGCGGUAGUCACUCUUCUCUACAUGUUUUGGAAGCGGUUUGGAAACAAACGAUCCCGCUCUGUUUUGAAAUCUCAAAAGGAAUAUUUUAAACGCCAGAAUCAGUUCUCAACAGAUCCUAAAGAGUCUUCAGAGACCAUCUACGCGAACCUACAGGAUUUCGGUUUGGAACUUAACGAUAUCUACACGAACGCCUAGCAACAAAGUAAAGUCAGUUCAGAAAUGGUAGGUUUUUCACACACUCUUGCACCAACACCCACCCUCAUCCGCACCCUCCC